GCCUGGGUGGCUCAGUUGACUGAGUGUCCGACUUCAGCUCAGGUCAUGAUCUCACAGUUUGUGGGUUCAAGCCCCAUGUCAGGCU
rnacentral:tRNA from 1 species